GGCGUGGAUAGGUUAAUUAACACAUAGCAGGUUAUUACGUAACAGAAAAGCUGUAAAAGAGGGUGGAUAGGUUAAUUAACACAUAGCAGGUUAUUACGUAACAGAAAAGCUGUAAAAGAUGGGUGGAUAGGUUAAUUAACACAUAGCAGGUUAUUACGUAACAGAAAAGCUGUAAAAGAGGGUGGAUAGGUUAAUUAACACAUAGCAGGUUAUUACGUAACAGAAAAGCUGUA